CCGUGCUAGGCGGGGAGCUAGCGGUGCCCUGUACCCGCAAUCCGCUCCAGCGGGGCCGAAUUCCCGCCCGCGGCCCGAAGGGUCCGAGGCUGCCCCCGGUACGGGGCGUCGAUGGUCGGGUCCUGCGCGACGCCAACUUGUGAAACCCGUCAGGUCCGGAAGGAAGCAGCGGUAAGCAGGCGCUGGCGGGUGCCGCAGGGACGCCUGGCCGGAGCCGCCGGCCGGGAGAGCGCCCGAGUCCUUCGCUCGUCAACGGCGGGUGCACGG
rnacentral:SRP_RNA from 1 species